AUUGAACGCUGGCGGCAGGCCUAACACAUGCAAGUCGAACGAGUGGCAGACGGGUGUGUAAUGUCUGGGAAACUGCCCGAUGGAGGGGGAUAACUACUGGAAACGGUAGCUAAUCCCGCAUACCAUCGCAUUUGCCCAGAUGGGAUUGGCUGUUGGGUGGGGUAACGGCUCACCUGGGCGACGAUCCCUAGCUGGUCUGAGAGGAUGACCAGCCACACGGGAACUGGGACACGGUCCAGAUUCCUACGGGAGGAGGCAGUGGGGAAUAUUGCACAUUGGGCGAAAGCCUACUGCAGCCAUGCCGCGUGUAUGAGGAAGGCCUUCGGGUUGUAAAGUCCUUUCAGCGAGGAGGCGUUACUCGCAGAAGAAGCACCGGCUAACUCCGUGCCAGCAGCCGCGGUAAUAC
rnacentral:rRNA from 1 species